GAAUUGAACCAUCUUUUAAUUUUUAAAAGACCUUUUUCGAAAGGUAUACUUAAAGAGGGGCUUGCGGCACAUUAGUUAGUUGGUAGGGUAAAAGCCUACCAAGACCAUGAUGUGUAGCUGGACUGAGAGGUUGAACAGCCACAUUGGGACUGAGACACGGCCCAAACUCCUACGGGAGGCAGCAGUAGGGAAUUUUCGGCAAUGGAGGAAACUCUGACCGAGCAACGCCGCGUGAACGAUGAAGUAUUUCGGUAUGUAAAGUUCUUUUAUUGGAGAAGAAAAAAUAGUGGAAAAACUAUCUUGACGAUAUUCAAUGAAUAAGCCCCGGCAAACUAUGUGCCAGCAGCCGCGGUAAUACAUAGGGGGCGAGCGUUAUCCGGAAUUAUUGGGCGUAAAGGGUGCGUAGGCGGUUUGGUAAGUCUAUAGUUUAAUUUCAGUGCUUAACACUGUUCUGCUAUAGAAACUAUCAGACUAGAGUGAGAUAGAGGCAAGUGGAAUUCCCAUGUGUAGCGGUAAAAUGCGUAAAUAUAUGGAGGAACACCAGAAGCGUAGGCGGCUUGCUGGGUCUUAUCUGACGCUGAGGCACGAAAGCGUGGGGAGCAACCAGGAUUAGAUACCCUGGUAGUCCACGCCGUAAACGAUGAGUACUAAGUGUCCGGGGAAACUCGGUACUGAAGUUAACACAUUUAAGUACCCCGCCUGAGUAGUACGUACCCCAAGUAUGAAACUUAAAGGAAUUGACGGGACCCCCCACAAGCGGGGGACCAUGUUGUUUAAUUCGAAGAUACACGAAAAACCUUACCAGGUCUUGACAUACUCUGCAAAGCUAUAGCAAUAUAGCGGAGGUUAUCAGGGAUACAGGUGGUGCAUGGUUGUCGUCAGCUCGUGUCGUGAGAUGUUAGGUUAAGUCCUAAAACGAGCGCAACCCUUGUCACUAGUUGCCAGCAUGUUAUGAUGGGCACUUUAGUGAGACUGCCAAUGAAAAAUUGGAGGAAGGUGAGGAUCACGUCAAAUCAUCAUGCCCCUUAUGAUCUGGGCUACAAACGUGAUACAAUGGCUGUUACAAAGAGUAGCUAAAACGCGAGUUUAUAGCCAAUCUCAUAAAAGCAGUCUCAGUUCGGAUUGAAGUCUGCAACUCGACUUCAUGAAGUUGGAAUCGCUAGUAAUCGCGAAUCAGCAUGUCGCGGU
rnacentral:rRNA from 1 species